rnacentral:rRNA from 1 species
UUGUAAUUUGGAGAAGGUGUUUCGGAAGAGAUGAUGGUCCAAGUCCCUUGGAACAGGGCGUCACAGAGGGUGAGAAUCCCGUACGUGACCAAUUAUCGAUUCCAUGCGAAACCCUUUCGACGAGUCGAGUUGUUUGGGAAUGCAGCUCUAAAUGGGUGGUAAAUUUCAUCUAAAGCUAAAUACCUGCCAGAGACCGAUAGCGCACAAGUAGAGUGAUCGAAAGAUGAAAAGCACUUUGAAAAGAGAGUCAAACAGUACGUGAAAUUGUUGAAAGGGAAGCGCUUGCAAUCAGACUCGUUUGCAGAAGCUCAGCCUUCCUUCGGGAUGGUGUAUUCUUCUGUCAACGGGCCAGCAUCAAUUUCGGCGGCUGGAUAAAGACUUUGAGAAUGUAGCUCUUUUCGGAGAGUGUUAUAGCUCGGAGUGUAAUGCAGCAGCUGAGACUGAGGUCCGCGCUUUUGCUAGGAUGCUGGCGUAAUGGUUGCU